rnacentral:rRNA from 1 species
AUUUUGGACAAUGGGCGCAAGCCUGAUCCAGCCAUGCCGCGUGCAGGAUGAAGGCCUUCGGGUUGUAAACUGCUUUUGUACGGAACGAAAAGGUGCCUUCUAAUAAAGGGCGCUCAUGACGGUACCGUAAGAAUAAGCACCGGCUAACUACGUGCCAGCAGCCGCGGUAAUACGUAGGGUGCGAGCGUUAAUCGGAAUUACUGGGCGUAAAGCGUGCGCAGGCGGUUUUGUGAGACAGAGGUGAAAUCCCCGGGCUCAACCUGGGAACUGCCAUUGUGACUGCAAGGCUGGAGUGUGGCAGAGGGAGAUGGAAUUCCGCGUGUAGCAGUGAAACUCGUAGAUAUGCGGAGGAACACCGAUGGCGAAGGCAAACCCCUGGGCCUGAACUGACGCUCAUGCACGAAAGCGUGGGGAGCAAACA